rnacentral:rRNA from 1 species
AGUGAACGCUGGCGGUAGGCCUAACACAUGCAAGUCGAACGGCAGCACAGUAAGAGCUUGCUCUUACGGGUGGCGAGUGGCGGACGGGUGAGGAAUACAUCGGAAUCUACUUUUUCGUGGGGGAUAACGUAGGGAAACUUACGCUAAUACCGCAUACGACCUACGGGUGAAAGCAGGGGAUCUUCGGACCUUGCGCGAUUGAAUGAGCCGAUGUCGGAUUAGCUAGUUGGCGGGGUAAAGGCCCACCAAGGCGACGAUCCGUAGCUGGUCUGAGAGGAUGAUCAGCCACACUGGAACUGAGACACGGUGCAGACUCCUACGGGAGGCAGCAGUGGGGAAUAUGGGACAAUGGGCGCAGGCCUGAUCCAGCUAUUCCGCGUGAGUGAAGAAGGCCUUCGGGUUGUAAAGCCCUUUUGUUGGGAAAGAAAAGCAGCGCGCUGAUACCCCGCUGUUCUGACGGUACCCAAAGAAUAAGCACCGGCUAACUUCGUG